AACGCGAAGAACCUUACCUACCCUUGACAUGUACGGAAUUCUGCUGAGAGGUGGAAGUGCUCGAAAGAGAACCGUAACACAGGUGCUGCAUGGCUGUCGUCAGCUCGUGUCGUGAGAUGUUGGGUUAAGUCCCGCAACGAGCGCAACCCUUGUCAUUAGUUGCUACGAAAGGGCACUCUAAUGAGACUGCCGGUGACAAACCGGAGGAAGGUGGGGAUGACGUCAAGUCCUCAUGGCCCUUAUGGGUAGGGCUUCACACGUCAUACAAUGGUACAUACAGAGGGUUGCCAACCCGCGAGGGGGAGCUAAUCCCAGAAAGUGUAUCGUAGUCCGGAUUGGAGUCUGCAACUCGACUCCAUGAAGUUGGAAUCGCUAGUAAUCGCGGAUCAGCAUGUCGCGGUGAAUACGUUCCCGGGCCUUGUA
rnacentral:rRNA from 1 species